ensembl:lncRNA
CCAGUUCCACCAUGUCUAUAGGUCUGAUUUAAAGAUGUACUUCCUACUUCGUGAUAUAAGCCAGUUCCACCAUGUCUAUAGGUCUGAUUUAUAGAUGUACUUCCUACUUCCUGAUAUAAGCCCGUUCCUCAAUGUCUCUACAGUUUGUAUGUUGGUAUGAACAUAAUAUCUUUCCCGAUGACACACAUCAACACCACUCAGCUGAGAGUUUCUGUCUUUCUGAUUCACACCUAAUAUUAUUAUUAUUAUUAUUAUUAUUAUUAUUUUUUUUUUAUACAAAUACAGCAUCACCAAAUACCUUUCUGUUUUGGACAAGUUGGAUCAGGUUGGAUAGAAAAGACCAGUGGAGGUAUAUAUAUAUAUAUAUACAAUGAAUGAGAGGAGGAUGGCAAGAAGAAAGAGAGGAAAGAGAGAGGAGAAAGGAGAGAGAGAGAGGAAAGAGAGGAGAAAGGAGAGAGAGAGAGG